GACGAACGCUGGCGGCGUGCUUAACACAUGCAAGUCGAACGAAGUGGCGAACGGGUGAGUAACGCGUAAUCAACCUGCCCUUCAGAGGGUGACAACAGUUGGAAACGACUGCUACUACCUCAUACUUAAGGUGUGGUUUGCGUCGGCUUAGCUAGUUGGAGGGGUAACGGCCCACCAAGGCGAUGAUCAGUAGCCGGUCUGAGAGGAUGGACGGCCACAUUGGGACUGGGACACGGCCCAGACUCCUACGGGAGGCAGCAGUGGGGAAUCUUCCGCAAUGGACGAAAGUCUGACGAAGCAACGCCGCGUGAGUGAUGACGGCCUUCGGGUUGUAAAGCUCUGUUAAUCGGGACGCGGUACCGGAAGAGAAAGCCACGGCUAACUACGUGCCAGCAGCCGCGGUAAUUC
rnacentral:rRNA from 1 species